AUGAGCAAACACGGAAGGUGGCUGGAGCUCAAGAGCUCUACGGGUUGCAGCCCCCUCCCUGGGGCCACGUGUGGUGGGCGGACACGGGAAGGAGAGGACAGCCAGGGUGUGCUCCCCACCUGGCCUUAUCCACCCAGGGCUCCCGGGAUCAACUCACCACUGCCCUCCUCUCUGCCUCUGAGGGCCAGGAAGGGCUGGGUGGACAAGGUAGGCCUGGCCGAAGUGGGCAGGUCGUGGAGUGGCCCUAGGCAGCAGAAAGAGAGGCCAACAAGUAGGCCUCAGUGCAGAAAACGCAAGAGGAGCCUGAGUGGCCCUGAGCCUGCACUCUCCCAGCACCUGAGACUGGAGGCAGGAUCCCAGGAGACCCCAGUGAAAACUAGGACUGAGGAGCCAGCAGCAGUUCGUGAAGAUAGGAAAGAGAAGCCCGGGAGCCAGUGCGACUUGGUGAAGGAAGCUAGGAAGGAGGAAGCCAGUGCGGUGUGGUGAAGCUAGCGUGCGGCUUGGCUUGGCAACCACGCGGAGGCGGCGAGCAGGCGGAGUGGAGGAUAGAUAGAGGAUNNUAGAGCAGCAGCCCAGUGUACGAGCCCCGCAGGGAGAGCCAGUGGUGUGGUAAAAAUCCGUGAGGUCGGCACUGUCGUGGGGUUUUUUUUCCUCCUGUAACUCACUAUGGUAAUACCUCUUAAAUUUUCCUAAUAGUAAUGGGGGAGUUGUGUACUUAAGCAUAAAGGGGAUUUUAUUACGGGGAUGUAGGCCGGUUUUCGGGUGUCGUAGGUUUCUCUUUUUCAGGCCUAUUUUCUCAUGCAUCUUGUCUGGAGCUUUUGAGGGCAGACUUCAAGGCCCGGAGGAAUGGUAGAUG
rnacentral:lncRNA from 1 species